rnacentral:tRNA from 1 species
GGAUGUGUAGCUCAGUUGGUUAGAGCGCUUCGUUCACAUCGAAGAGGUCGUUGGUUCGAGUCCAAUCACAUCCA